AUUGAACGCUGGCGGCAUGCUUUACACAUGCAAGUCGAACGGUAACAGGCCGCAAGGUGCUGACGAGUGGCGAACGGGCGAGUAAUGCAUCGGAACGUGCCCAGUCGUGGGGGAUAACUACUCGAAAGAGUAGCUAAUACCGCAUACGAUCUAUGGAUGAAAGCGGGGGACCGUAAGGCCUCGCGCGGUUGGAGCGGCCGAUGUCAGAUUCGGUAGUUGGUGGGGUAAAGGCUCACCAAGCCAACGAUCUGUAGCUGGUCUGAGAGGACGACCAGCCACACUGGGACUGAGACACGGCCCAGACUCCUACGGGAGGCAGCAGUGGGGAAUGUUGGACAAUGGGCGCAAGCCUGAUCCAGCAAUGCCGCGUGCAGGAAGAAGGCCUUCGGGUUGUAAACUGCUUUUGUACGGAACGAAACGGCUCUGGUUAAUACCCGGGGCUAAUGACGGUACCGGAAGAAUAAGCACCGGCUAACUACGUG
rnacentral:rRNA from 1 species